rnacentral:rRNA from 1 species
AGGACGAACGCUGGCGGCGUGCCUAACACAUGCAAGUCGAACGCGCUCCAUUCGGUAGCAAUACUGAUGAAGAGCGAGUGGCGAACGGGUGAGUAGCACGUGAGCAACCUGCCCCGAAGACCGGGACAACACCGGGAAACCGGUGCUAAUACCGGAUAUCCCUAUCGGACCGCAUGAUCUGAUAAGGAAAUGGAUUCCGCUUCGGGAGGGGCUCGCGGCCUAUCAGCUAGUUGGUGAGGUAACGGCCCACCAAGGCAUCGACGGGUAGCUGGUCUGAGAGGACGAUCAGCCACACUGGGACUGAGACACGGCCCAGACUCCUACGGGAGGCAGCAGUGGGGAAUCUUGCGCAAUGGGCGAAAGCCUGACGCAGCAACGCCGCGUGGAGGACGAAGGCUUUCUGAGUUGUAAACUCCUUUCAGCAGGGACGAUAGUGACGGUACCUGCAGAAGAGCACCGGCAACUCGCGCCAGCAGCCGCGGUAAC